GAUGAACGCUGGCGGCGUGCCUAAUACAUGCAAGUCGAGCGAACGGACGAGAAGCUUGCUUCUCUGAUGUUAGCGGCGGACGGGUGAGUAACACGUGGAUAACCUACCUAUAAGACUGGGAUAACUUCGGGAAACCGGAGCUAUACCGGAUAAUAUUUUGAACCGCAUGGUUCAAAAGUGAAAGACGGUCUUGCUGUCACUUAUAGAUGGAUCCGCGCUGCAUUAGCUAGUUGGUAAGGUAACGGCUUACCAAGGCAACGAUGCAUAGCCGACCUGAGAGGGUGAUAGGCCACACGGGAACUGAGACACGGUCCAGACUCCUACGGAAGGCAGCAGUAGGGAAUGUUCCGCAAUGGGCGAAAGCCUGACGGAGCAACGCCGCGUGAGUGAUGAAGGUCUUCGGAUCGUAAAACUCUGUUAUUAGGGAAGAACAUAUGUGUAAGUAACUGUGCACAUCUUGACGGUACCUAAUCAGAAAGCCACGGCUAACUACGUG
rnacentral:rRNA from 1 species